rnacentral:misc_RNA from 1 species
CAAGCGCCUGACCGUGCAGGGCUUCAUCUUCACCGACUUCAAUGAUCAGCGUGAGGCAGCGAUGGCCGAUCUCCAGUCAUGGGUGAAGGCCGGCAAGAUCAAGGUGCAGGAAGACAUCAUCAACGGCUUGGAAAACACGCCGAACGCGCUGAUCGGACUUCUCGCCGGCGAGAAUCGCGGCAAGCNNNNNNNNNNNCGACCACGGAUUCAUUCCGUUCAAAAAUGCAUGUGCCACCACCCCACAAACGCAUAACGCCGAUGAGGUGAGUGGCACGUACAUUGCUGUGUUUUCUCCAACCAUGGAGAAAACCGGCAUGAGUCUCACCACCGAUCUCAAGGCAAACAACGCACGCUGGAUUCAACUGUUGCUGGGCGUCAUCGCGAUGAUGGCGAUCUCCAGCCCGCAAUACGU